rnacentral:rRNA from 1 species
UACGGAGGGUGCAAGCGUUAUCCGGAUUUACUGGGUUUAAAGGGUGCGUAGGCGGAUUGGUAAGUCCGUGGUGAAAUCUCCGAGCUUAACUCGGAAACUGCCAUGGAUACUAUUAGUCUUGAAUAUUGUGGAGGUUAGCGGAAUAUGUCAUGUAGCGGUGAAAUGCAUAGAUAUGACAUAGAACACCAAUUGCGAAGGCAGCUGGCUACACAAAUAUUGACGCUGAUGCACGAAAGCGUGGGGAUCAAACAGG